UGAAGGAUAUUGAGUUACCCAAGGAAAAACAAUUGUAGGAGGCCACAGUAGAUGUAAAAUAAGGAGAUCACUGCUAGGACUAAAGGAGAAGAUCGAAGAAAUACUGUUAUUAGAGACUGGUGAGAGCUGAGUCAGACCUAAAGGGGUUCUGAACAGGACCUGAGACACAACUUCUGCAGAAGACACUGUGCCAUUGUUGUCACCCAUUGACCAAUCCAAAGGGAAAAAGUGGUCACAGAGUCCAAAUGAUACAGAUUACAGGAAAGGGAAGUGAUUAAGAAGACGUUGAGUGGCUCACUGAAUUGCCAGAAGACUGGAUACAUUGACUUAGAGAACAGACAAGGUAAAGGAGCCAAGAAGUGUGAACCUCAGGCAUAAAUCAUAGCUUAGAACCCAUUCUGCUGAGGGCAAGACUACCUCUGCUUGCUGAACACGAGAGGCCGUCCUGAACCAUUGUUACUACCUCCAGCAUGCAUCCUCCACCAUUCCUGAAUUUUGUUCUAUUAGAAGCUCUGGGAAUCAAACCUGGAAGAGCUGUGUCUGAUUGGCUAAUCCUAGUUCACGUGUCCUGCUUAGCUAUAACAGAGGCCAAAAAAGCAAGUAUGUAGAUUUUUCAUCCCUCUGUCCCCCAAGAGAUAGAUUCUUCCUACCAAGAUCUACAAAAUAAAGAAUUCUUAAAAUAUA